CGACGAUUAGUGUAGCGGUUUAGCACACUGGAUUUUGAUUCCAGUAACGCGAGUUCGAAUCUCGCAUCGUCCU
rnacentral:tRNA from 1 species